CGGCCGCGGACGCCGCGGGCGGUGGUGGAGGCCCCCGCGGGACUUGAGCGGUGUCUCCUCCGCGUCGGGCGGGCGAACCGCGCCUUACCGCCGCCGCCUCCCGCUCCCGGAACUCCGGGGCCUGCCCUGGCCCCUGUCUUUGCACUCCGCACGCCGCAGCGCCCUGCCCGGGCCGCACCCGCUGGCCUCAUGAGGAGGGACGUGAACGGAGUGACCAAGAGCAGGUUUGAGAUGUUCUCAAACAGUGACGAAGCCGUAAUCAAUAAAAAACUUCCCAAAGAACUCCUGCUAAGGAUAUUUUCUUUCCUGGAUGUUGUUACCCUUUGUCGCUGUGCUCACAAAUCACAGAUGAAGGCCUCAUCACCAUAUGCAGAGGGUGUCAUAAGUUGCAGUCUCUCUGUGCCUCUGGGUGCUCCAACAUCACAGAUGCCAUCCUGAAUGCUCUAGGUCAGAACUGCCCUCGGCUUAGGUAAACGUUGUUUAUUUAGCUCAAAAAAAAAAAAAAAAAA
rnacentral:lncRNA from 1 species